CCUACGGGAGGCAGCAGUGGGGAAUAUUGCGCAAUGGGGGCAACCCUGACGCAGCAACGCCGCGUGAUUGAAGAAGGCCUUCGGGUUGUAAAGAUCUUUAAUCAGGGACGAAAAAUGACGGUACCUGAAGAAUAAGCUCCGGCUAACUACGUGCCAGCAGCCGCGGUAAUACGUAGGGAGCAAGCGUUAGCCGGAUGUACUGGGUGUAAUGGGAGUGUAGGCGGGCUUGUAAGUCGGAAGUGAAAUCUGGGGGCUAAACCCCCAAACUGCUUUUGAAACUGCGGGUCUUGAGUGAUGGAGAGGCAGGCGGAAUUCCCGGUGUAGCGGUGAAAUGCGUAGAUAUGGGGAGGAACACCAGUGGCGAAGGCGGCCUGCUGGACAGUAACUGACGCUGAGGCGCGAAAGCGUGGGGAGCAAACAGGAUUAGAUACCCUUGUAGUC
rnacentral:rRNA from 1 species